AUUGGUCCGGGUGGAGAUGGUCCGAUGGGCGGCAUGGCAGGAAUGGAGCCUCAUCACAUGAAUGGAUCAUUAGGAUCAGCUGACAUGGACAGUAUGCCCAAGAACUCUCCUGGUAACCUAAGCAUGAGCAACCAGCCUGGAACUCCUAGAGAUGACGGAGAAAUGGGCGGAAAUUUCCUCAACCCUUUCCAGAAUGAGAGUUAUUCUCCAAACAUGACCAUGAGUGUGUGAAGACCUCAUUUGGAAAUCCUGGUGGAUUCCACCACAUGACAUGGAACCUGUGCAAGCGCGCUGUAGCCAGCCCUCUUCUGCUCUCUGAAGAAUAUGGGUCCAAGCCUCUCCUUUCUCUCUCCUUCCUUCGUUUCCUUUUUUCUUCAAAUGUCAUUCUUUCACCUCCUCAGCCGCGUCACAUCGAGAGACAAAGCUGAACCACAUUGGGCUGAGAAUGACGAAUCAACAGCCUGUCUAUAUUUACGUAUAUCUUCGUGUAUAUAUGUGGGUGUACAUUCAAAGUUACAUGUGCAUGUGUGUAUGAAAGGACAUAUAUUGAUCCUAGAAAGAGAGACGAUGGACUUGAACUGUUUUUAACGAAAACAAAAUCAUAUUUUCUUGAAAUAAGAUGUAAAUUGACAGAUCUAUGUAAACGGAUUUAUCGCAGGAAACACUUAUUGAGAUGCAGUGGGGGUCGAGUUCGUAAAAUGGCAGAAUCGCAAUGCUAAAAAUCAAUUUCUCAGCGAGGAUGCACUGUAAUUGAUUCAUAAUCGUCUUUGUGUCAUCGAUGAGAGUUUGAUUCAUAUUUUAUUGAAACGGGUUGAGUUGUCGUUAACGGAAAUGUGUUCGUAAUUCCAACUGACACCUGUAAUUGAUCAUUUCCUACUGUAUUCGGUCUUCUCACAUCUGUGCUCCUCAAAUGCAGUCCAAUCUGAUCAAUACCCUGGAGGUUUUGUUUGUAUAUACAGGAGAUUUCUUUUUCAGGACGAUGCCUACGAAGAACAGCCAUUCCAUACGUACACAAAAUUCUUAACUGGGGGACGCGAGAGGAACGUCUUCCGAAACUGAACUUGAGAUCGUCGCACUAGCUUCAGUUACCGAAGAAUAUUUCUGUCAUGUUUUGAAAAUACUCCUAAUCAUGUGACGUACACAGAUACAACGUUUACUGCUCUUAUAUUACGACGUUUUCUUUGUGAAAAUCUUUGCAUGUGAAUACAGGAAGUAAGGACGAUUUUUUGGAAAAAGGAAACUGGUCCAUUCAGAGGAAGGGCACAUGGAUGGGAAUUAUAAUUCUGUACAUCUGUCAUUCUAAUCAACUUAUUUAUACAGCCGUUGUUGUGUCACCCGGAGAAACUGUGAUUUGCUUUGAUUUUAUUUUUUAUUUUUUUUUCAAGUGGAGUUAUUAUUAUUAUUAUUAAUAUUAUUAUUGCAGAAUUUCAAAAAUAUAUAUAUGUGAAUUUUUUUUAUAGCUUGGGGAUCUGAUUCAUCUGUGUCUCUGUGAAUUAUUUAAAACAAUACUGUACAAUAACUGAGGUGUUUUCGUGUUUAUUUGUAAUAACAUUUGCCCUUUUUGCCCCAGAUUUUUUCCUGACUAUGAGAGAGACCCCAUCAUGAGUGUACAACAUUAUCAUUUGACUUAUUUGACUUAUUUUGUGAAGUGUUUAUUUUCUACCUUGUGUUGACUUUUGUAAAUACACAGAGAAGUUUUGAAUAUCCUAUACUGAUAUAAAGCUUCUCAUUGCUGUUUAA